CCCAGCGUCGCUCCACGGGGCCGCUCUGUCUGCCGGGCAGCGGAGCGCAGCGCACUGAGCUUGUCAUGAGUCCCAGCACCAGUAUUGGUAAGAGGGCCGAUUGAAUACUCAUCCUUCUGACCAGUAUGGACACGGAUCUCAGGCUCUCGCCGGUUUGAAAAAGGAAGAGGGAUGUCUCCAGCGACAUGGCUUCCCAGGUUCCCCCAGAGAUAUGCCUUUGUGACCACCAGGAAGCUCUCAAACCUACCAAGAAAGUCACAAGAGAUGGAUGAAGCAGUUGAAAAUACUGGUAAUGGGAUCGGGUCAUGAUGCAGACCUGCAUCACCGUAAGCAUGCAGUACCCAUGCAUAACAGCUCUGACAGCACUUUCAUGUGCAUUACUAAAAACCUCAAAGGUCACAGUUUGACCAAACAAGAAAAGAAAAUGUAUUAAUAGUAACAGACAACUUUACGAUCACAGAUGCCCAUCAUUGGAGUCAUUAUUGGAAUUUGGAUCCGUGACCUCAGCCAAUACAAAAACAUCCUCCUCAGUGUACACAGGAUGUGCUCUCAAGCUCUUUCUUCAAAACGUCCAGUUUUAGCAGUCCCACGGUGGCCUUUCCUCAGGAAUAUCAACCAUAACUGUUACCAUCACACGCAUUUACACACACUGCUUUGAGCUAUAAACAAAGUUGGAGACGAUGCUGUGGGUCUCCUC